rnacentral:lncRNA from 1 species
AGUAGAGGAGGAGAGAGAGCGAGCGAGCGAAGUUUCUCUCUCUCUCUCUCUCUCUCUCUCUCCUCCUCUCCCAAGUCCGAAUUUACUGGUGCCAACCUCAGCAGGUGUAUGGCUCCGGGUAGAGGUUUUUGAAUCUAUUUUUAGCAUGUAGUAAUGGAGUGAAUCAGCUGCUGCCUUUAGCUGAGAUGCAGAUAACAUUAGCUGUCUCAACGGGCGGCAGCACUGGCGAAUAUUGCGACACCCUUCUUUCUCUCUCUCUCUCUCACACUCUCUCACACACUCUCUCUCUCUUUUUAACUGUCUUUUUCUCUCAAGAAGUUUUCUCCCUGGACGCAAUGCAUUCCAGCUGUUUGAUCUACCGUGGAUCCAUCAUGGAUGUUGAGGCACUAUAGUCUCAAAAGUCGGCGUGGAUUGUGGUCGUUCGUCGUCGUUGCCGCUGUUGUCAUUAGUAAUAUCAUGUUAGAUUGCCAAUCGACGAGUGACGGCAGCAAGGAGGGAGAUACAGUGGGUUGUAAACAUUGUCAAGGUAAGACUGCGAGUGAAACUGCACGGUGAAGCAACAGCGUGGUGUUGGAAAGGCCGGACGUUCUCCGACUUUAUGUAAUAGCAAUUUAUCAUUUAAAAAAAAAAAAAAACUGUAACGAUUUUUAUGCCCUUGGAACGUACGACUCGAUUCACAAGGCGUGAAAAUCACGUGUUGCAAUUUUUUUUUCUCUUUUCUCAAAAUCUAGAUUGAU